rnacentral:rRNA from 1 species
AUUGAACGCUGGCGGCAGGCCUAACACAUGCAAGUCGAACGAGUGGCGGACGGGUGAGUAAUGUCUGGGAACCUGCCUGAUGGAGGGGGAUCACUACUGGAAACGGUAGCUAAUACCGCAUACCAUCGGAUGUGCCCAGAUGGGAUUAGCUAGUAGGUGGGGUAAAGGCUCACCUAGGCGACGAUCCCUAGCUGGUCUGAGAGGAUGACGAGCAACACUGGAACUGAGACACGGUCCAGAAUCCUACGGGAGGCAGCAGUGGGGAAUAUUGCACAAGGGGCGAAAGCCUGAUGCAGCCAUGCCGCGGGUAUGAAGAAGGCCUACGGGUUGAAAAGUACUUUAAGCGGGGAGGCGGUACCCGCAGAAGAAGCACCGGCUAACUCCGUGCCAGCAGCCGCGGUAAUUC